rnacentral:rRNA from 1 species
AAACUUUCAACAACGGAUCUCUUGGCUCUCGCAUCGAUGAAGAACGCAGCGAAAUGCGAUACGUAGUGUGAAUUGCAGAAUUCCGUGAAUCAUCGAAUUUUUGAACGCAAAUUGUACUUUUCAGUAAUCUGGAAAGUAUGCUUGGUUGAGGGUCAUCG